rnacentral:lncRNA from 1 species
UCUUAACUUAGUAAUACUAGGUCCGUUGUUAGAUGUAUCAUGAUCACCUUUUUCUGCACCUUCACCAUUCACAUGCUUUCUCUUAACAGAAGGAGAAUAAUCUAAAUCAUCCUUGCUUCCAUCGUCAGAGUUAUCAACUGAGGCUCUACCAUUAGAGUUGCCGUUUUGGGCCCUAUUUCUUCUCGAGGUCGCUUUAUUCGGUGAAGCGCUCCUGGAAUUUAUUGACCCAUGCGAACUCUUUGCAUUCCUUUCAGCACCGGCUUUUUGAAUAAUUUUAAGAUCUUCCAAAAUAGAAGCUUGAAAGGCUUCUGAUGUAUGAUUCCAUGGUUUUGCAUCCAUUGAUGAAAACGUGGACGUCGUGUAGUGUGAACAUACAAUGAAGAUUUAUGCUAGCAAAGAUGAAUUUAACGAGAAACAAGGAAAGACUGCUAUAAACCGAAAAGAAAGAUUUGUUAGUUAUUUUGUUUAAAUAUCAAAAAUAUUAUAAUUUCCAAAAACUGAAAUGAAGGCUGUAAAGUAAUUUGAUUCAUCGGUUACCCGUACAUACUUUAAAUUUAGCCACAUGACUGAACAUUAAGGAUUAAUAAGCCUUUGAAUAAUAUACAGUGUAUUUCCUCAAAUUUAAUAAAUUAAUCGUAUUGAGGAUAGAGUGCCUCAUUUGUAACAGAAGCUAUCAACUGAAAGAAACUGGUCCGUCGAGCUAUCCAUAACGUGAGUCAAAUCUUGAUUAUGGUCUUUGAUAAAGAUUCUUCCAAAAUUGUAUUAAGUAUUUCUAUCCAAAACCGUAUUCAUUCUCACCUCCUUUUUUUGUUGAUGCGAGCUUGACAACAAGUGGAUAUGGAAAUUGCCAAACGUGAAUCCUGGGCCGGCUGUAAAAUACUCAUUAAUGCAAUCAUGACAACAUAUUCUCACAGUCAUCCUUUCAGCAGGAUUUAAAGCAGGUUUUACGAUAACAUUAAAUCGAUCAUUCGGAAAUUUUGCAAAUGUCUCUAUAACACAUCGUUUAACCCAGGAAGGGGUAAAAUCAGGUAAAUUUAACUUUUGCAUAUGAACCAAAGCGGAUUCAGAAGAAUUGCUGUUAGUAAGAAACGCGUCAGAAGAAAGGCUAGGAGACGAAAAUUGUGGUAAUGGCGAAAUAUUUUGCCCAUAUGUAGAAGGUGUGUUCCUUUCACUUUCAAAUUCGUUUAGUGAGUCAAAACUCAUGGAAUUGGGCAAGGGAGUGAGUUUCCGUUGUUGGAAGUUAUUGAGGGUUAAGGUUUGUGAUUGUUCAACGAUUAUUUUUAGUUUCUGAGAGUCAACUUUUAGACGCACAAUUAAAUGUUCUCUUUCAGGAUUAUUAGUAUUAAUUUCGUUAAGUGUCUCGCCAUCAGAAUUUGUAGAUAAACUUAAAGCAUGCAUAAAGUCAUCAUCCGAGGGGACCGAUGAACUGGGGAAGAGACUUCGAUGUAUUUUAGGAAUGUCCCGAAGAUCUGGUAACAUAAUCCCGUGUUUUGCCCUUCCUUGUCUACGCCGCAUACGACGUGCUUCCCUAUCAUAACCUCUAUCCUGCCGUUCCAUUUCAGCAUCGUUUAGCUCGUAAAUCAUUGGGGCAAAGGAGGAGGAUUCCAUGUCAGAGAACCGUAGUGUGUUUUUAAGAGGAGGUAAAAUGUAAGAGCGAACUUCCUCGUCUUCGAUUUCACUUCCGUCAAACAAAUAUCCUAUAAGGCUUAAAUAUUUUAUGUACAUUUGGCACUGCUCACGAAUUGAGUGAGCUACAGCUGUACAAAAUUCUCCUGACAAUCCUAGAUCUAAGCACAUCACAGUAGCAAAUUCCUCAGCGCUGCUUUCAGGAGCAAACAAAUUCCAUUCAAAUUGGUCAAUAAGAUUCAGCCGACCAAUGGUAAUAUCAAGCUUGAUCAAUAUCCUCAAAUCGUUUUGUACAGUUGGAAUUUGUUGCUUGGAAGCUUUAGCCAACGAAUCUGACGGUUCGUGCGCAUAAACAGUCUCUGAGGUAGACGAACUAACAUCUGAAACAAAACUUAAAUUAGACUGAGCCUUACGCGGCUCAUAGUCAUUUAUUUGA